UACACAGUUCUCUUGAAUAUUAAAAAGUUAGAACACACUGAAGUUUGCAUCUGUUGAAAUCCUUUGUCUUAUGCAACUGCUAUACAACUGAAGAAUGAGCUUGGCUUUUUCCACCUGGCUCUUCAAAGGGAAAGGAUAUUGGAGGUCUUUUAGCAAAGGCUUGGCGUAUAUGGAUUCACUCAAGGGUUGGGCUGAAUGGAAAACUCUGUAACAGAAUGUCUAAGAAGUUUCCAGCAUAGCAGACAAAACGUUUCAAGGGGUUUAACCUGUCUGGUGGUAACCUAUCAUAAAUUUAUUCUGCUGGGUAGCCUUUGGAAGAAGGGGUCUGGCAGUGAAAUUCUAAAUUAUCCUUGCUCCCAGUUUGUAAUACUUUAGGGUUAGGGUUAGGGUUAUGAAAUAAUUAUAUAUAAUUUUUAAAAUAUAUAAAUCCAUGAUAUAAGUUUAUAUACUAAAACAAGCAAAAUGGAAACUAUGUAUUCAAAUUGAUCAAGUAUUUUUAUCCCAGCAAGUAUGUACCUUUUGGGAUUGGGCCAUACCUAAAUACCAUGAACCACCUCUUGUUCUGGAAGAUUUACUUCUGGGAAAUUGCCCAAUGGCUAGAUCAGCAAUGAUCUCAAAGCAGAACAGAAUAUACCAUCUCCAUAACAGAACAUUCUGCACAUACUGGCACUCGUAACAGUGCUCUGUAAAAUCAAUUUUAAAACGAAAUCAUAUUCUGAUGAAAGGCCCCAAUGCGGAAAUCAGGCAAUCUACUUUAAGAGGCUGAGUAUGGAUUUUGUAUAAUAACUUACCUGUACUGUACAACCAAAUGUCAGCCAUUUAAUUAUAUGGGGGCAAAUAAAGGGGCAGUUGGGAGGUGAUCGAGGUAGACCAUUACUCCUGUUGAUCUCUUUUUUGAUGGGUUCUAUCUGAUAUAACAAAGAUUUCAACUAUGAAGCUCCAAGGGGUGGGGGGUGGGCUCCAGAUCAGUGGACAUCCUUUGACCCAGCUCAUUAUUUCUCAAGUUCAACUGCUAUUAUUAAUAGGCCACUGCCUGAAGUUGUUGUGAAAAUAAUCUUCAUGUGAAUAAAAACAGCUCCAUUAAAAUAGAAA